CAGAUGUUCGCUCGGUGGGCUUGGUACGGCAGCGGCCGCGACGACAACCUCUAGGUUGACCUCGGAUCAGGUAGGGAUACCCGCUGAACUUAAGCAUAUCAAUAAGCGGAGGAAAAGAAACCAACAGGGAUUGCCUUAGUAACGGCGAGUGAAGCGGCAACAGCUCAAAUUUGAAAUCUGGCUCUUUCAGGGUCCGAGUUGUAAUUUGUAGAGGAUGCUUCGGCGUGGGCCCCGGUCUAAGUUCCUUGGAACAGGACGUCACAGAGGGUGAGAAUCCCGUACGUGGCCGGUGGCGCUCGCCAUGUGAAGCUCCUUCGACGAGUCGAGUUGUUUGGGAAUGCAGCUCUAAAUGGGAGGUAAAUUUCUUCUAAAGCUAAAUACCGGCCAGAGACCGAUAGCGCACAAGUAGAGUGAUCGAAAGAUGAAAAGCACUUUGGAAAGAGAGUCAAACAGUACGUGAAAUUGUUGAAAGGGAAGCGCUUGCAACCAGACCUGCCCGUAGUCGCUCAUCCAGGCUUCUGCCUGGUGCACUCUUCUGCGGUCAGGCCAGCGUCAGUUCUGGCGGUCGGAUAAAGGCGGUGGGAAUGUGGCUCCUCUCGGGGAGUGUUAUAGCCCACCGUGCAAUGCGGCCAGCCGGGACUGAGGUCCGCGCUUCGGCUAGGACGCUGGCGUAAUGGUUGUAAGCGGCCCGUCUUGAAACACGGACCAAGGAGUCUAACAUCUGUGCGAGUGUUCGGGUGUCAAGCCCGUACGCGUAAUGAAAGUGAACGGAGGCGGGAACCUUAGGGUGCACCGUCGACCGAUCCUGAUGUCUUCGGAUGGAUUUGAGUAAGAGCAUAGCUGUUGGGACCCGAAAGAUGGUGAACUAUGCCUGAAUAGGGUGAAGCCAGAGGAAACUCUGGUGGAGGCUCGCAGCGGUUCUGACGUGCAAAUCGAUCGUCAAAUUUGGGCAUAGGGGCGAAAGACUAAUCGAACUAUCUAGUAGCUGGUUCCUGCCGAAGUUUCCCUCAGGAUAGCAGUAACGUUUUCAGUUUUAUGAGGUAAAGCGAAUGAUUAGAGGCGAUGGGGGUUGAAACAACCUUCACCUAUUCUCAAACUUUAAAUAUGUAAGAAGUCC
rnacentral:rRNA from 1 species